rnacentral:rRNA from 1 species
UACGUAGGGAGCAAGCGUUGUCCGGAAUUAUUGGGCGUAAAGAGCUUGUAGGCGGUUUGUCGCGUCUGCUGUGAAAUUUCGGGGCUCAACCCCGAACUUGCAGUGGGUACGGGCAGACUAGAGUGUGGUAGGGGAGACUGGAAUUCCUGGUGUAGCGGUGAAAUGCGCAGAUAUCAGGAGGAACACCGAUGGCGAAGGCAGGUCUCUGGGCCAUAACUGACGCUGAGAAGCGAAAGCAUGGGGAGCGAACAGG